rnacentral:rRNA from 1 species
CAAUAGCGUAUAUUAAAGUUGUUGCAGUUAAAAAGCUCGUAGUUGGAUUUCUGGUGGGGGUCGCUGGUCCGCUGCGAAAGCGGCGUGUACCGAUGCGUACCUACCGCCAUCCUCGGGGGGACUGCGUGUGGGAUUAGUUUCUCGUGCGUAUGGACGCCCGUCUUUUACUGUGAAAAAAUUAGAGUGUUCAAAGCAGGCUGGGGCCGUUGAAUACAUUAGCAUGGAAUAAUAAGAUAGGACCUUGGCGGUCUAUUUUGUUGGUUUGCACGCCAAGGUAAUGAUUAAUAGGGAUAGUUGGGGGUAUUCGUAUUCAAUUGUCAGAGGUGAAAUUCUUAGAUUUAUGGAAGACGAACUACUGCGAAAGCAUUUACCAAGGAUGUUUUCAUUAA